rnacentral:rRNA from 1 species
CUACGGGCUGCAGCAGUGAGGAAUAUUGCACAAUGGGGGGAACCCUGAUGCAGCAACGCCGCGUGGAGGAUGACGCAUUUCGGUGUGUAAACUCCUUUUAUAUGUCAAGAAAAUGACGGUAGCAUAUGAAUAAGCACCGGCUAACUCCGUGCCAGCAGCCGCGGUAAUACGGAGGGUGCAAGCGUUACUCGGAAUCACUGGGCGUAAAGGACGCGUAGGCGGGUUGGAAAGUCAGGUGUGAAAUCCUACAGCUUAACUGUAGAACUGCACUUGGAACUUCUAAUCUAGAGUAUGGGAGGGGGAGAUGGAAUUAGUGGUGUAGGGGUAAAAUCCGUAGAUAUCACUAGGAAUACCUAAAGCGAAGGCGAUCUCCUGGAACAUUAAUGACGCUAAGGCGUGAAAGCGUGGGGAGCAAACAGGAUUAGAUACCCCGGUAGUC